AUUGAACGCUGGCGGCAAGCCUAACACAUGCAAGUCGAACGAGUGGCGGACGGGUGCGUAAUGUCUGGGAAACUGCCUGAUGGAGGGGGAUAACUACUGGAAACGGUAGCUAAUACCGCAUACCAGCGGAUGUUCCCAGGUGGGAUUGGCUAGUAGGUGGGGUAACGGCUCACCAAGGCGACGAUCCCCAGCUGGUCUGAGAGGAAGACCAGCCACACUGGAACUGAGACACGGUCCAGCAGCAUACGGGAGGCAGCAGUGGGGAAUAUUGCACAAUGGGCGCAAGCCUGAUGCAGCCAUGCCGCGUGUAUGAAGAAGGCCUUCGGGGUGUAAAGUACUUUCAGCGGGGAGGCGUUACCCGCAGAAGAAGCACCGGCUAACUCCGUGCCAGCAGCCGCGGUAAUUC
rnacentral:rRNA from 1 species